rnacentral:rRNA from 1 species
CCUACGGGGGGCAGCAGUGAGGAAUAUUGGUCAAUGGGCGCAAGCCUGAACCAGCCAUGCCGCGUGCAGGAUGAAGAUCUAUGGUGUGUAAACUGCUUUUGUACGAGAAGCGGUAUCGUAAGAAUAAGGACCGGCUAACUCCGUGCCAGCAGCCGCGGUAAUACGGAGGGUCCAAGCGUUAUCCGGAAUCAUUGGGUUUAAAGGGUCCGUAGGCGGUUUAGGAAGUCAGUGGUGAAAGCCCAUCGCUCAACGGUGGAACGGCCAUUGAUACUGCUAAACUUGAAUUAUUGUGAAGUAACUAGAAUAUGUAGUGUAGCGGUGAAAUGCUUAGAGAUUACAUGGAAUACCAAUUGCGAAGGCAGGUUACUAAAAAUAUUGACGCUGAUGGACGAAAGCGUGGGUAGCGAACAGGAUUAGAUACCCGAGUAGUC